rnacentral:rRNA from 1 species
GUAUAAAUAGUAUACAGUGAAACUGCGAAUGGCUCAUUAAAACAGUUAUAGUUUAUUUGAUAAUUGAAUGCUACAUGGAUAACCGUGGUAAUCCUAGAGCUAAUACAUGCUAUAAAACCUGACUUUUUGAAAGGUUGUAUUUAUUAGAUACCAAACCAAUAUUCCUUCGGGUCUAUUGUGAUGAUUCAUAAUAACUGAUCGGAGCGAAUUCUAUUCGCUAAAUCAUUCGAGUUUCUGCCCUAUCAGCUUUCGAUGGUAGUGUAUUGGACUACCAUGGCAGUCACGGGUAACGGGGAAUUAGGGUUCGAUUCCGGAGAGGGAGCCUGAGAAACGGCUACCACUUCUAAGGAAGGCAGCAGGCGCGUAAAUUACCCAAUCCUGACUCAGGGAGGUAGUGACAAGAAAUAACGAAUCGGGGCCUCACGGCUUACGAUAUUGCAAUGAGAACAAUUUAAAACACUUAACGAGGAACAAUUGGAGGGCAAGUCUGGUGCCAGCAGCCGCGGUAAUUCCAGCUCCAAUAGCGUAUAUUAAAGUUGUUGCAGUUAAAAAGCUCGUAGUUGAACUUCUGGCGGUCGUUUUCGCUGGCUUCGGUCGCGUUGAUGGCUGUCAUCCGCUUGGGAACCUCGUUCGGUCUUCAUUGGUCGGCGGGAGGAUCAGGCAUUUUACUUUGAAAAAAUUAGAGUGUUCAAGGCAGGCAAUCGCCAUGAAUACACAAGCAUGGAAUAAUGGAAUAGGACUCUCAGUCAUUUUAUUGGUUAUUGACUGGUAGUAAUGAUUA